rnacentral:rRNA from 1 species
AUUGAACGCUGGCGGCAUGCCUUACACAUGCAAGUCGAACGGCAGCACGGACUUCGGUCUGGUGGCGAGUGGCGAACGGGUGAGUAAUGUAUCGGAACGUACCUUUCAGUGGGGGAUAACGUAGCGAAAGUUACGCUAAUACCGCAUAUUCUGUGAGCAGGAAAGCAGGGGAUCGCAAGACCUUGCGCUGAUUGAGCGGCCGAUAUCAGAUUAGCUAGUUGGUGGGGUAAAGGCCUACCAAGGCUACGAUCUGUAGCGGGUCUGAGAGGAUGAUCCGCCACACUGGAACUGAGACACGGUCCAGACUCCUACGGGAGGCAGCAGUGGGGAAUUUUGGACAAUGGGGGCAACCCUGAUCCAGCCAUGCCGCGUGAGUGAAGAAGGCCUCGGGUUGUAAAGCUCUUUCGGCCGGGAGAAAGUCGCAUAGGCUAAUA